CCUACGGGAGGCUGCAGUGAGGAAUCUUGCGCAAUGGGGGAAACCCUGACGCAGCAACGCCGCGUGAGUGAGGAAGGUUUUCGAAUCGUAAAGCUCUGUCAGGUGGAAAGAAAUGUCUGUACGUUAAUAGCGUGCAGACUUGACGGUACCACCAGAGGAAGCACCGGCUAACUCCGUGCCAGCAGCCGCGGUAAUACGGGGGGUGCAAGCGUUGUUCGGAAUCAUUGGGCGUAAAGAGCGUGUAGGCGGCUUGAUAAGUCAGAUGUGAAAGCCCUGGGCUUAACCCAGGAAGUGCAUUUGAAACUGUCUGGCUAGAGUAAGGAAGAGGAAAGCGGAAUUCCUGGUGUAGAGGUGAAAUUCGUAGAUAUCAGGAGGAACACCGGUGGCGAAGGCGGCUUUCUGGUCCUAUACUGACGCUGAGACGCGAGAGCGUGGGUAGCAAACAGGAUUAGAUACCCCUGUAGUC
rnacentral:rRNA from 1 species